UCCCUCUAUUCUACCAUCAGCUCCCUUUAACUUGGUAAGAGCCCAACUGUCGUUUCGAGUCCCGCUCCCGGUCGCUGUGGAUAGGUUCUGGCAGGUUCAGGCCCUCUGCAUCUCUCCCAGGGCGGAGAAAAUCUCUCACCAGUAACCCA